AGUGAACGCUGGCGGUAGGCCUAACACAUGCAAGUCGAACGGCAGCACAGUAAGAGCUUGCUCUUACGGGUGGCGAGUGGCGGACGGGUGAGGAAUACAUCGGAAUCUACUUUUUCGUGGGGGAUAACGUAGGGAAACUUACGCUAAUACCGCAUACGACCUACGGGUGAAAGCAGGGGAUCUUCGGACCUUGCGCGAUUGAAUGAGCCGAUGUCGGAUUAGCUAGUUGGCGGGGUAAAGGCCCACCAAGGCGACGAUCCGUAGCUGGUCUGAGAGGAUGAUCAGCCACACUGGAACUGAGACACGGCCCAGACUCCUACGGGAGGCAGCAGUGGGGAAUAUUGGACAAUGGGCGAAAGCCUGAUCCAGCAAUGCCGCGUGAGUGAUGAAGGCCUUAGGGUUGUAAAGCUCUUUUACCCGGGAUGAUAAUGACAGUACCGGGAGAAUAAGCUCCGGCUAACUCCGUG
rnacentral:rRNA from 1 species